CUUAUAGCCAGACUCUCUCCAGAUUCACCGCCUAUUGUCCCCUUGUGUGCUGGCCUUUGCCUUAUAGUAUUAGAGAAUCUAUUGUUUGCACAAAUACAAUGUAUCGAUCGAUCGAUCAGCUCUUCCCUUUGUCACUUUUUAUAUAUAUUUUCUGUUUAUGUUUUCGACCGGACCGGUUCGGGUGCUUGGGAAGGUUAGGAGAAUCCAUGUAUCUUAAUUCAAAAGGUGGCAAGUUUUCUAUCUCAUCAUCUCAUAUCAGCCUCAUAAAUGGAACUGAUAAACUUGGAACUUGUCUUGAUACUAAGGGUUCUGUCCAAAGUCUUUCUUGUUCUUAUAAGGGUCUGAACUCGAAGAAGAAGAAGAACCAAACGGCUGCUGCGCCAUAGAAAAGCUUAAGGGCUGUCGUUGUUGCACAUGUUGAUCUUGAUCUUCUUGUUGAGAUGGUACGAAGGGCACUGAAGAUGAUGAUGAAGAUGUAGUAGUGGUAGCUGAUAAAGUCUGGGAAAAAAAUGAUCUUUCUCUCUCGUAAAAAGUACUUGUUGAUAUUGAUGAUCAGAAAGAGGCUGAUUGUGAUGAGCCAAUUCAGUUCUUCGACUCCCCCCAGCUGCUAAGUCCUGUGGACCAGUUGUUGUGAGCCUGCAGUUGAGGAGGUUGAUCGUCAUGCAAUUCCAUGGCGCUGGGCAGGGGGUUUACCAAUGGCUCGGCGGGCACUUGAAC